GACGAACGCUGGCGGCGUGCUUAACACAUGCAAGUCGAACGGUAAGGCCCUUCGGGGUACACGAGUGGCGAACGGGUGAGUAACACGUGGGUGAUCUGCCCUGCACUUCGGGAUAAGCCUGGGAAACUGGGUCUAAUACCGGAUAGGACCAUUGCCUGCAUGGGUGGUGGUGGAAAGCUUUUGCGGUGUGGGAUGGGCCCGCGGCCUAUCAGCUUGUUGGUGGGGUGAUGGCCUACCAAGGCGACGACGGGUAGCCGGCCUGAGAGGGGGACCCGCCACACUGGGACUGAGAUACGGCCCAGACUCCUACGGGAGGCAGCAGUGGGGAAUAUUGCACAAUGGGCGCAAGCCUGAUGCAGCGACGCCGCGUGAGGGAUGACGGCCUUCGGGUUGUGAACCUCUUUCAGCACCGACGAAGCGCAAGUGACGGUAGGUGCAGAAGAAGGACCGGCCAACUACGUGCCAGCCGCCGCCGUAA
rnacentral:rRNA from 1 species